CCUACGGGUGGCAGCAGUGAGGAAUAUUGGACAAUGAGCGCGAGCCUGAACCAGCCAAGUCGCGUGAGGGAAGACGGUCCUAUGGAUUGUAAACCUCUUUUGUCGGGGAGCAAAAGACGCCACGCGUGGCGUUCCGAGAGUACCCGAAGAAAAAGCAUCGGCUAACUCCGUGCCAGCAGCCGCGGUAAUACGGAGGAUGCGAGCGGUAGCCGGAGUUAUUGGGGUUAAAGGGUGCGUAGGCGGAAGAUCAAGUCAGCGGUAAAAUUGAGGGGCUCAACCUCUUCGAGCCGUUGAAACUGGUUUUCUUGAGUGAGCGAGAGGUAUGCGGAAUGCGUGGUGUAGCGGUGAAAUGCAUAGAUAUCACGAAGAACACCGAUUGCGAAGGCAGCAUACCGGCGCUCAACUGACGCUGAUGCACGAAAGUGUGGGGAUCGAACAGGAUUAGAUACCCGUGUAGUC
rnacentral:rRNA from 1 species